UACAGAGGUCCCAAGCGUUGUUCGGAUUCACUGGGCGUAAAGGGUGCGUAGGUGGUGAGGUAAGUCGGAUGUGAAAUCUCCAAGCUCAACUUGGAAACUGCAUUGGAAACUACCUUGCUAGAGGAUUUGAGGGGGGAUUGGAAUACUUGGUGUAGCAGUGAAAUGCGUAGAUAUCAAGUGGAACACCAGUGGCGAAGGCGGGUUGCUGGGCUGACACUGACGCUGAGGCGCGAAAGCUAGGGGAGCGAACGGG
rnacentral:rRNA from 1 species